GAGUCUAUAAGCCCGUGAUCUCGUCGGGCCCGUGAACUCGGCUACACAAUAUAUGAUGACGUCAUCUACUUUCAUUUUGAUCGAGCACACGUGUGUAGCUGCGACAUUCCUUUUGAUCGAUCACACAUUUGUAGCCGGGAAAUUCUAAUGAUAAUAAUAAUAAUGACUUAAUAAUGAAUUUCACAUAAUGGAUGUAAUCAACAACAUCACCAGGUAAUAAUAUACAUGUAGAUACAGAUACAGAUACGGAUGGCAGAAUCAGUUGAGGGGUUCAAUGUCACAUUGAAAGGAGUGGAUCAUACAGAAGGAUGGGUUACAACUCAACAACAGCUUGACAAUGUACUUGAAGCACAUCGGCUGCAGAGCGGUACACAGUUUGUAUCAUGGCAUGAUGACAAAGCAAGGAAGCCAGAAGCUGUUGGUCGCCUGCUGUGGACCCACAAAGAUUUAUCCAUUACUGGUCCUGCAUUUGCCUUAGGAAGGCAUGUUAUCAGACAGUGCCAGUAUGGAAAAGGGCAUAAAAGGGCCAAGACACAGAAACAACAGGUUCCUAAUUUGCAUGACUAUGCACAGUCUUCAAGACACUAUUUGCAGCGAAGCAAAAAGGUAGGAUGCAGUGCUAAGAUCAUUAUCCGCUAUAUAACUGUAUAUACGGAAUAUGAUGCUUCUGGAAUUUGGGAAAAAGAUAGAAGACGCACCAACCUCAUGGAGGACUUAAAGAAGCAACUAGCAACUGAUGCUAGCUACAAAGAACCACUUGACAUGUAUUGCAGGAAGUGUUGUUUAACUGAGACUUCAGAAUGUCACUGGAUUCAGUGUGACUCUUGUCCAAAGUGGUUUCACUUGAGCUGUCUGGAUAAUACAGGACACACCAACUUAGCUGAAAUACAGGCAAAUCCAUACCUGUGCAAAUUUUGUCUGAAGGAAUAUGAAGAUGAGAACUACAUGUUGGCAUGCAGAAACACUUGUCAACUUCGGGUUAACCCACAAAAGAAAAGAAAGAGAAGUUCUUUUGUGUAUGAACCAGUGAAAAAGGCAAACCUGGACAACAUCAAGAAAUCAAUGGAAGGAGAAAAGUCUGCACCACCACCAUUGCUCCAAACUAAUAAACGCCGCAGGAUUUGUAGAACCGAGAACAACGACUUUCUCGAAGAAAAGCCUUUACAGACAGACCGCAGCAAAGAAGAAAGCAUAAUGCCACCCUUAGAGUUUCCAAAGUAUGUUAGUGAUGCAGACCAGAGAGACCAGGAAGGCAUGAUUAAUCUUGCUGACAUAAAAAAACAUAGUCAGCAAAUUCAUAACCGAAUGAGGGAAAUAGUGAAAACACAGGCUUCCAGGAAAAGCAUUUCUCGAAAUUGUAAUUUGAACCCAGAAUGGCUAUCUAGACAUUCCCAGUUCAUAAUGAAUGGACAGGCAGACGACUGGAAAAACAAGGGAUAUGGACUUUCUUUUUUCAAUCAACCAGUGCAGCAUUCUUUGGAACAAUGGAUUGAAAGGGGGUUUUAUGUGGACAUUGGAACUUGUAUAUUUACGAAAUGGGGUUCAAUAAAGGGAGCAAGUAAGGAACUUCAAGACCGGAUGACACAAAGCCCUUAGUAUGUAUCUUAACAGAACAUUUGUAAUGGACCAUCUCUGUAUCUGUUCCAAAUAUAACUGUGAAGCUGACAGUUACAUUAAA
rnacentral:misc_RNA from 1 species